CCUACGGGUGGCAGCAGUAGGGAAUCUUCCACAAUGGGCGCAAGCCUGAUGGAGCAACGCCGCGUGGGUGAAGAAGGUCUUCGGAUCGUAAAACCCUGUUGUUAGAGAAGUAAGUGCGUGAGAGUAACUGUUCACGUUUCGACGGUAUCUAACCAGAAAGCCACGGCUAACUACGUGCCAGCAGCUGCGGUAAUACGUAGGUGGCAAGCGUUAUCCGGAUUUAUUGGGCGUAAAGGGAACGCAGGCGGUCUUUUAAGUCUGAUGUGAAAGCCUUCGGCUUAACCGGAGUAGUGCAUUGGAAACUGGCAGACUUGAGUGCAGUAGAGGUAGGUGGAACUCGAGGUGUAGCGGUGAAAUGCGUAGAUAUAUGGAAGAACACCAGUGGCGAAGGCAGCUUUCUGGUCUGUAACUGACGCUGAGGUUCGAAAGCGUGGGUAGCAAACAGGAUUAGAUACCCUUGUAGUC
rnacentral:rRNA from 1 species